ACGGUGUAUCCGAAUCCUGCAGGGAGCUGGGGGUCCUCUCUGGACCAGGAAGCUCUGGUUUUCUCUUUGAGGAGCUACCCGCUCUGAUGAUGGAAUCUGGAGCCUCUGCCAUCCCCGACACAUCGUAAUAUAAACUCACGGCGAUGCCUACAUACAUCAAUGGCUGGAGGAAGGAUAAAAAGCAGCUGUUCUCUUUCAAAACUUGGCCUCUCAAAAUGUGAAGAUGUGUGAACGGAGCCUCCAGGAGAACCGCCAGCUCAGAAGGUGAUAAAGCAAAGGACCCUUCAGGUGGGUGUGUGUCUGCAGGAGGCGA
ensembl:lncRNA